rnacentral:lncRNA from 1 species
AGAGAGAUGAAAGAGACGAGACUGGAUAUAGUUACGACCAUCAACGACGGAGGACGGGAAAUUGAGAUUCGAGAUGUCGAGUCGGAGAAAGCGGUUACGCAAGAACAUAGUGGAAGAUAAGUUGUUUUUACUGUGUUUUAUUUAUCUUUUUGUGUGGAUUUCUAUUUUGUGAAGGUAGUGAGAGAUGAAUUGCAGAGGAACCAGUACAAAGAUAAGUCUGACAAGCGUGUGAACAGCUGAGACAAAAGACAUUCAUGCUGGUUGGGUUUCCGUUGGUCUUGAAACUUAUUUCCUUUGAGGUGAUUUCUUGUUUGGUUAGGAAGUUUCGUGGAGAAGAAACUAAUAGACUAUGUCGGAGUUAAAUUGCUCUUAUCUUUUGGAGUUGAUACUGACUAAAGUAUAAGGUGCUAAGAACAAUUCAAAUGUAUGUUUUCGGAGGACUCUUUGGAGAUGAAUAGAAGUGAAUAUAGUUGCAUAUUGUGGUUUGUAUUAUGUAAGAUUGUGUACAUGUGUACAUAUAAAACUGUAUGUACACACAAUGCGGUGUACAUGUGUACAUAUAAAAAUUGUAUGUACACACGGUGCGGUGUACAUGUGUACAUUGCACUUAUGUGAAUAUGUAACUGAUUUAAUUAAC